UACGUAGGGUGCGAGCGUUAAUCGGAAUUACUGGGCGUAAAGCGUGCGCAGGCGGUUGUGCAAGUCAGAUGUGAAAUCCCCGGGCUCAACCUGGGAACUGCAUUUGUGACUGCACGGCUGGAGUGCGGCAGAGGGGGAUGGAAUUCCGCGUGUAGCAGUGAAAUGCGUAGAUAUGCGGAGGAACACCGAUGGCGAAGGCAAUCCCCUGGGCCUGCACUGACGCUCAGGCACGAAAGCGUGGGGAGCAAACAGG
rnacentral:rRNA from 1 species